AGGAGCUGAAGGAGCUCCAACAGGCUGUGGAGUCUCUCAAGCGCUCUGCACAGGCAGCAGUUGAGGACAGUGAUAAAAUCUUUACCAAGCUGAUCCGCUCCAUUGAGAGAAGGCGCUCUGAGGUGAAGGAGCUGAUCAGAGCGCAAGAGAAGGCUCAAGUGAGUCAAGCUGAAGGACACCUGGAGCAACUGAAGCAGGAGAUCGCUGAGCUGAGGAAGAGAAGCACUGAGCUGGAGCAGCUCUCACACACAGAGGAUCACAUCCAUUUCCUCCAGAGUUAUCAGU